rnacentral:tRNA from 1 species
CCCUGGUUAGUUCAGUUGGUAGAGCGCUCCACCUAUAAUGGAGAGGUCCCGGGUUCGAUACCCGGACCAGGCG